GUCCAUUCAAGGACAUCCGAUAAAAUUGGAGCGAUACAGAGAAUAUUAGUAUAGCCCCUGUGCAAGGAUAACAUGCAUAAAUCGAGAAAUGAUCCAAAUUUAA
rnacentral:snRNA from 1 species